GUAGGACACACACUGUCAUGCAAUUUACACUUCAGAACUCCCUGCAAGAACUGAGAGUGGGAAUACAAGCUUCAGAAACAAUGACCUUCCCCCCUCCCACUCUAUAUGGAAACUGAGGCCCAGGGAAAAAUUAUUCUCUUUUCCAGGGCCAAAUGACUGUCUAGUACAAGAGCCAGAAUUAAAACCCAGAAAGAAGAACUCAAUAAAACCUGGC